UACGGGGGGGGCAAGCGUUGUCCGGAAUUACUGGGCGUAAAGCGCGCGUAGGCGGCUUUGUAAGUUAGAGGUGAAAGCCCGGGGCUCAACCCCGGAACUGCCUUUAAAACUGCAUCGCUUGAAUCCGGGAGAGGUGAGUGGAAUUCCGAGUGUAGAGGUGAAAUUCGUAGAUAUUCGGAAGAACACCAGUGGCGAAGGCGGCUCACUGGACCGGUAUUGACGCUGAGGUGCGAAAGCGUGGGGAGCAAACAGG
rnacentral:rRNA from 1 species